UUUCAUAUGUGGUACUAAAUCGGAUACGUAUCCGACUCGCGGCCAUGCGACCUGAAUGUGAACGCUCAGAUCGGAAUUCAUGUGGCUUUUUGCUUAUACGCAUGCGCUGACAUCAUUAGCCUGCACCGGCUGAUGCACCCACACAUCUCUUGGUGCAGGAGUUCCAGCAAUAACUGGGAAAACAGAAAAAGGACAAGAAUCCUAAUUGUGUCCACUGGCACAAACAGCCCUACCCACCUCUAUCCUUCUUUAAUCCUCACCGGCAAGAUAACGAGGUGGAGAUCAUGAGGAGAAUCAGCCAGCAGGCAAAGCUACUGUCCAACGCCCACUGAUACAGACAUUCCAAAAAGAGAGGAAGCUGGGGUGAGACAGAGAUAUGUUCUCAUUCACAAAAAGAAAACACCUUGAAGAUUUACCCUCAGGUGACUGGGAGUGUCUUUGCAGCUUCUGUAAAUAAUAUGGAUUUCUCACAUAUGAGUAAUAUUUGAAAGUAGGACACAAUGUUCACAGGAUGGGAAAAAGACAAUUGUUUUGCCAGUUGUUAAAAAAAAUUCUGUCACUGUGAUUAAUGAGAGUCCCGAUUGUAGUAUUAGUGACAUUUGAAGAUUUGAUGUGACCACACAAAAGAGCCAGAACGAUGCUAUCAUAAAAAAAAACCACAAUCUGACUGACAUUCUCGUUCAUCUCCUUUAUUUCCAUUACUUUAUCCGUUUUAUUGUUUUCUCCUUGUUUCCUAAUCAGACAUCUAGGCCGAUUCUUCGGUUGGUAUUUAUGUCGCGUAAUA